rnacentral:rRNA from 1 species
CAGUAGCCGCGGUAAUACGAAGGGUGCAAGCGUUAAUCGGAAUUACUGGGCGUAAAGCGUGCGUAGGCGGUUUGUUAAGUCUGUUGUGAAAUCCCCGGGCUCAACCUGGGAAUGGCAAUGGAUACUGGCAAGCUAGAGUGUGUCAGAGGAUGGUGGAAUUCCCGGUGUAGCGGUGAAAUGCGUAGAGAUCGGGAGGAACAUCAGUGGCGAAGGCGGCCAUCUGGGACAACACUGACGCUGAGGCACGAAAGCGUGGGGAGCAAACAGGAUUAGAUACCCCAGUAGUCCCUGUCUCUUAUAC